AUGAAUAUUGACACGCUGGUGAUGCGGAAGAAACUUGCAGAUAAUGAAGGUGCUGAUGACGAAUACUGCAGAUUGUUGAAGGCUUCUGAAGUUCAGUUAGAGGUUGUUAUGAAGUUAGUUAGAGUUUGGUUAACAGUUAGCUUUCUGUUAUGGUUUGGAAGUGGAGAAGUUGCAAAGGCACAGUUAAGCCAUGAAGUAAUAAGCAUGAAGAUUGGUCGUGGAAUUAGAAGAAUGAGAGUGAAGAUGGAUAAGUUUUGCAUAGGUUUAAGAAGGGUUAACAAGUAG
rnacentral:lncRNA from 1 species